UACGGGGGGGGCAAGCGUUGUUCGGAAUUACUGGGCGUAAAGGGCUCGUAGGCGGCCAACUAAGUCGGACGUGAAAUCCCUCGGCUUAACCGGGGAACUGCGUCCGAUACUGGAUGGCUUGAGUGUGGGAGAGGGAUGUGGAAUUCCAGGUGUAGCGGUGAAAUGCGUAGAUAUCUGGAGGAACACCGGUGGCGAAGGCGACAUCCUGGACCAACACUGACGCUGAGGAGCGAAAGCCAGGGGAGCAAACGGG
rnacentral:rRNA from 1 species